UGCUAAGCUCUGCUUGAAUUCUCAUUGAGCAUCUCACUUCUUACAAGUUUCAACAACUCAGCAGUCUAUAAUCCAACUCGCCUUCUCCGCAAUGCAAAAAGUGCAAUGAGCUUCAUGCUGAAUACUGAUUUGAAGUGUGGUUCACCACACAGACUUAAAUUGUCCUUCCCACAACUUUAUCUGAGAAGCCUGACAACGGUGACAAUCACAGGACUAGUUUUAUUGGACAGGCAACUUUCUGGGUCUGAGAAAGAGAAGGCUUCCAGGAGGUCUGCAGCCACCUGCUUCAGCCACUGCUGGUAUCCACAUCUUCAAAGCGGAGGUUUAGCCACACCCAGACAGGGGAAUAACACUUGCAGAAAACGACGCUCAGAAAUUGCCGUCACCUGAUUCCCCGCAGCAGAGCAGACCAGCUGUCUCCUGUACAGGUGGAAGCAGCUUGCACGCUUCCUGCCGUCCGC